rnacentral:rRNA from 1 species
UACGUAGGGGGCAAGCGUUGUCCGGAUUUAUUGGGCGUAAAGCGCUCGCAGGUGGUUCGUCGCGUCGUGCGUGAAAGACCCCGGCUCAACUGGGGAGGGUCGUGCGAUACGGGCGGACUGGAGGCCAGUAGGGGGAUGCGGAAUUCCGGGUGUAGCGGUGAAAUGCGCAGAUAUCAGGAGGAACACCGGUGGCGAAGGCGGAUCUCUGGGCCAUUACUGACGCUGAGGAGCGAAAGCGUGAGGAGCGAACAGG